GCCACACUGAUGUGUCUGGCCAACAAGGGCUUCCCUUCAGACUGGACCAUGAGCUGGAAAGUGGACGGGACCAGCCAGAUACAAGAGGCCAGUUCUAGGGUCCUAGAGAAGGAUGGUCUGUACAGCUGGAGCAGCACCCUGACUCUCACUGGCCAGGAGUGGACCAAGGCAGGAGAGGUGACCUGUGAAGCCCAGCAGAAAUCCCAGACUCCAGUCACCAAGGCCUUGAGGAAGGCUGACUGUUCUGGGUAG